GCUGUUCAGUGAUGAGGCCUGGAAUAUGCGCUGGGCACAGCGCCCGAGACAGACUGCGGAACUGUUCCUUGUUGCCUUCCUUCUGAGAACAGC
ensembl:snoRNA SNORD83B small nucleolar RNA, C/D box 83B